rnacentral:rRNA from 1 species
CUUUACUAUAGCUUUGCAGUGGCACGCCGAUUUUCUUGUGCAGAAUAGGUGGGAGGCUUUGAAGCGGGGACGUUAGUUUCCGUGGAGCCGCCGUUGAGAUACCACCCUGGAAUCUCGUCGUGUCUAACCAAGUCCUGUUAUCCAGGACUGGGACCCUGCAUGGUGGGUAGUUUGACUGGGGCGGUCGCCUCCCAAACAGUAACGGAGGCGCGCGAUGGUGGGCUCAGGACGGUCGGAAAUCGUCUGUGGAGUGCAAUGGCAUAAGCCCGCCUGACUGUGAGACUGACAAGUCGAACAGAAUCGAAAGAUGGCCAUAGUGAUCCGGUGAUUCCAUAUGGAAGGGUCAUCGCUCAACGAAUAAAAGGUA